rnacentral:rRNA from 1 species
GACGAACGCUGGCGGCGUGCUUAACACAUGCAAGUCGAGCGGUAAGGCCUUUCGGGGUACACGAGCGGCGAACGGGUGAGUAACACGUGGGUGAUCUGCCCUGCACUUCGGGAUAAGCCUGGGAAACUGGGUCUAAUACCGGAUAUGACCUCCUAUCGCAUGGUGGGUGGUGGAAAGAUUUAUCGGUGCAGGAUGGGCCCGCGGCCUAUCAGCUUGUUGGUGGGGUAAUGGCCUACCAAGGCGACGACGGGUAGCCGACCUGAGAGGGUGACCGGCCACACUGGGACUGAGACACGGCCCAGACUCCUACGGGAGGCAGCAGUGGGGAAUAUUGCACAAUGGGCGAAAGCCUGAUGCAGCGACGCCGCGUGAGGGAUGACGGCCUUCGGGUUGUAAACCUCUUUCAGCAGGGACGAAGCGCAAGUGACGG